GCGUCGGUGGCCUAGUGGUUAGGCUCUCGGACUCACAAUCGUAAGGUCGUGGGUUCGAAUCCCGUCUGGGGCA